rnacentral:misc_RNA from 1 species
GAUCCUCUAUGGAGUUAGCAAUGCCAGGCUUUGGAUUCACAUUCUGUUCAAUGCCUUUGUUGAUGUUCCCAUUAGAAUUACUAAGAAUUGACACUUCAGACUUCGAUUUUGAAAGUUCAAGGCCAUUUUGUUGNNNNNNNNNNNGUCCAACAAUGGAGCUGAAUCUGAUAAACGGUGGGACUGAUUUGUAAUAAGUGGAACCUCCUUUGCAAAAUAUAGAGUCACAAGAGUGCAAAGAGUGAGAAAUACCACUGCAACAAGAAACGCCG